GUUCGGAAUUACUGAGCGUAAAGCGCACGUAGGCGGAUCAGAAAGUAUAGGGUGAAAUCCCAGGGCUCAACCCUGGAACUGCCUUAUAAACUCCUGGUCUUGAGUUCGAGAGAGGUGAGUGGAAUUCCGAGUGUAGAGGUGAAAUUCGUAGAUAUUCGGAGGAACACCAGUGGCGAAGGCGGCUCACUGGCUCGAUACUGACGCUGAGGUGCGAAAGUGUGGGGAGCAAACAGGAUUAGAUACCCUGGUAGUCCACACCGUAAACGAUGAAUGCCAGUCGUCGGGUAGCAUGCUAUUCGGUGACACACCUAACGGAUUAAGCAUUCCGCCUGGGGAGUACGGUCGCAAGAUUAAAACUCAAAGGAAUUGACGGGGGCCCGCACAAGCGGUGGAGCAUGUGGUUUAAUUCGAUGCAACGCGAAGAACCUUACCAGGGUUUGACAUCCUGCGAACCUCUUGGAAACGAGAGGGUGCCUUCGGGAGCGCAGUGACAGGUGGUGCAUGGCU
rnacentral:rRNA from 1 species